rnacentral:ncRNA from 1 species
UUGAGCCGUAUGUUGGGAAACUAACACGUACGGUUCUUAGGGGGGACGGUGACUGAGAGGUUGCCCUCCUACCCGAC